rnacentral:rRNA from 1 species
UACGGAGGGUGCAAGCGUUAUCCGGAAUCACUGGGUUUAAAGGGUGCGUAGGCGGUUUUGUAAGUCGGUAUUGAAAGUUUGCAGCUUAACUGUGAAAUUGGUAACGAUACUGCAAGACUUGAAUCAGGUUGAAGUUGGCAGAAUGUGACAUGUAGCGGUGAAAUGCUUAGAGAUGUCAUAGAACACCGAUUGCGAAGGCAGCUGACCGGACCUUGAUUGACGCUGAGGCACGAAAGCGUGGGGAUCAAACAGG